rnacentral:rRNA from 1 species
GACGAACGCUGGCGGCGUGCCUAAUACAUGCAAGUUGAGCGCUGAAGGUUGGUACUUGUACCGACUGGAUGAGCAGCGAACGGGUGAGUAACGCGUGGGGAAUCUGCCUUUGAGCGGGGGACAACAUUUGGAAACGAAUGCUAAUACCGCAUGAAAACUUUAAACACAAGUUUUAAGUUUGAAAGAUGCAAUUGCAUCACUCAAAGAUGAUCCCGCGUUGUAUUAGCUAGUUGGUGAGGUAAAGGCUCACCAAGGCGAUGAUACAUAGCCGACCUGAGAGGGUGAUCGGCCACAUUGGGACUGAGACACGGCCCAAACUCCUACGGGAGGCAGCAGUAGGGAAUCUUCGGCAAUGGACGAAAGUCUGACCGAGCAACGCCGCGUGAGUGAAGAAGGUUUUCGGAUCGUAAAACUCUGUUGGUAGAGAAGAACGUUGGUGAGAGUGGAAAGCUCAUCAAGUGACGGUAACUACCCAGAAAGGGACGGCUAACUACGU